UUUUACAUCUUAAUCAAAAAAAAAAUCUUAUAUAUCGAUUAUGAUUCAUGUUUUAGAACAUAUGUGUAGUUUGGCUAACUAAGAACAAUCUCGAAAUAGACAGUGUGGUGGUCCUUCGGGGAGUAGUCCACUCUGAAGUACUUUGCUGCGUUUCCACCGGGGCUGACAGGAUCAGCCGAUAGGGUUAAUCAAAAAACAAAAAAAGAACAAAAUCUCUUUCCUUGAACAUCGAUCACAUGUGUUUCGGUAAACCAUGCAACUCUGUUAAGGAUUGUUUUAGUUGGUAACAUAAUUAUUUAAGGGUUUUGUGCAAAUAAACCCUUCAAGUCGUCAAUUUUUGCAACGCUAUUCUUCAUAUCCAAAAAUACAAAAC
rnacentral:lncRNA from 1 species